rnacentral:tRNA from 1 species
GCCCCGAUAGCUCAGUGGUAGAGCAACCGCUUCGUAAGCGGUAGGCCGUUGGUUCAAAUCCGACUCGGGGCACCA